UCCAUUGCAGUCUAGACGGUUAGGAUGCUUGAUUCUCAAUCAAGAGACUUGGGUUCAAGUCCCCCGACAAUGGAA
rnacentral:tRNA from 1 species